rnacentral:tRNA from 1 species
GGCCCCGUAGUUCAACGGAUAGAAUGGAAGUUUCCUAAACUUUAGAUGGCAGUUCGAUUCUGCCCGGGGCUA